GCGUGAGUGAUGAAGGCCCUAGGGUUGUAAAGCUCUUUUACCCGGGAUGAUAAUGACAGUACCGGGAGAAUAAGCUCCGGCUAACUUCGUGCCAGCAGCCGCGGUAAUACGAGGGGAGCUAGCGUUGUUCGGAAUUACUGGGCGUAAAGCGCGCGUAGGCGGCUUUUUAAGUCAGAGGUGAAAGCCCGGGGCUCAACCCCGGAAUAGCCUUUGAAACUGGAAAGCUAGAAUCUUGGAGAGGUCAGUGGAAUUCCGAGUGUAGAGGUGAAAUUCGU
rnacentral:rRNA from 1 species